rnacentral:rRNA from 1 species
AGAGAUCAUGGCUCAGGAUGAACGCUGGCGAGAUGCUUUACACAUGCAAGUCGUACGAGAUUAACUCAAGUGGCGGACGGGUGAGUAACACGUAAGAAUUUGCCUUUAGGAGGGGGACAACAAUUGGAAACAAUUGCUAAUACCCCAUAUGCUUUCGAGUGAAAUGGAUUUUGUGAAUACAAUUUCAAUCAAUGAAAUCCGCCUGAAGAGAAGCUUGCGGCUGAUUAGCUUGUUGGUAAGGUAAUGGCUUACCAAGGCGACGAUCAGUAUCUGGUUUGAGAGGACGAUCAGACACACUGGAACUGAGACACGGUCCAGACUCCUACGGGAGGCAGCAGUGGGGAAUUUUCCGCAAUGGGCGAAAGCCUGACGGAGCAAUCUCGCGUGAGGGAUGACGGCCUAUGGGUUGUAAACCUCUUUUUUCAGGGAGGAAUAAAAUGACUGUACCUGAAGAAUAAGCAUCGGCUAACUCCGUGCCAGCAGCCGCGGUAAGACGGAGGAUGCAAGUGUUAUCCGGAAUCACUGGGCGUAAAGCGUCUGUAGGUGGUUUAAUAAGUCAACUGUUAAAUCUUGAGGCUCAACCUCAAAAUCGCAGUCGAAACUAUUAGGCUAGAGUAUAGUAGGGGUAAAGGGAAUUUCCAGUGGAGCGGUAAAAUGCGUAGAGAUUGGAAAGAACACCGAUGGCGAAGGCACUUUACUGGGCUAUUACUAACACUCAGAGACGAAAGCUAGGGUAGCAAAUGGGAUUAGAUACCCCAGUAGUCCUAGCCGUAAACAAUGGAUACUAAAUGUUGAACAGAUCGACCUGUGCAGUAUUAAAGCUAACGCGU